GCCUACCUUCCCGAUAUCCCACUGGAAAGUGAGCUGCUAGGACGUAGACGGCAUCCGUUCCGUCGCCGAGUGCCGAGUGGGCGGCGACUUGAGGGAAGAAAGCCCGGGAGGGAGACGCCGGGCGACCGCGAAGGGAGAGGUCAAAAUGCCCUGGCUGCUGUUUUCCCUGUUCCCGUGGCCCACUGGAAAAAGAAGCUGAAAUACAGGAUGUAGGUUGUCUAAUGGACCUGGAACGACGGAGGAAGCUGGACUUAGGAUCCAUUUCUGCCUGUCUCCAAAGCCCUGCCUAUACCAAACAUCAGGCCACAGCCCUGUCUCCAUGCUGACUGCCUUUCUGCACUUCCUGCCAGCCACCCUCAUGUCUGGACUUCUGGGUUUGUGUUAUCUGGGGCUGUUGAUGGACCACGAGGAGGUCCUUGGGUAUCCUCUCUGUUUCCCAGCUACUAGAGGAUGACUUGCGACAGCAUCCCAGAUUCUGGCACAUACUUAGAAAAUUCUGCACAGGCACCAGCAGGUAGACACCAAUGUGGAAAUGAAUUCUUUCCAACCCAAUGGCCAAGAAAGAUUUUUUUUUUAAUUUUUAAUGUUCAUUUUUGAGCGUGAGAGACAGAGCAUGAGUGUGGAAGGGGCACAGAGAGA